CUCAACUCGGGUGCCAAACGUACUGUCGUUCGCAGCGUCAUGUCCUCCGACCUGCCUGCCAUAGCUUGUCUGCAGGAAACCAAACUCGAGCUGAUCACCAUGCCCCUCGUCUCGGAGACCCUCGGGCCAUCGUUUGACGCUUUUCACUUCUUGCCCGCGGUCGGCACUUGCGGUGGGAUUCUGUUAGCCUGGCGCUCUUUCGAACUUACGAUCUCCUCUCCGACCUUUGGGGCGCAUCACAUCACAGCCGUGGUAUCCUCGCUCUACGGCGACCAUCCCUUCUAGCUUACGGACGUCUACGGCCCGCAGUCCGAUUCCGACAAGAUGAACUUCCUGCAGGAUCUUCAAGAUGUCCGCGAGCUUUGCGCCGGCCCUUGGGUCCUUGGCGGCGACUUCAACAUGAUUGCGGCCGCCGCGGACAAAAACAACUCCAGGCUCAACAUGCGCCUCUCGCUCCCGGCGCCUGGCGCGCCUCCAUGCUCUCUCGGGGCGAACGUCUCGCCCUUGUCAGGCAUGUGCUCUCCGCGAUGCCGAUCCACCUCCUCAUGGCCAUGGUGA
rnacentral:rRNA from 1 species